AUACAACUUUCAACAACGGAUCUCUUGGCUCUCGCAUCGAUGAAGAACGCAGCGAAAUGCGAUAAGUAAUGUGAAUUGCAGAUUUUCAGUGAAUCAUCGAAUCUUUGAACGCACCUUGCGCUCCUUGGUAUUCCGAGGAGCAUGCCUGUUUGAGUGUC
rnacentral:rRNA from 1 species